UUGUUCGACUAACAAGCAUUCUAAUCAGUAGGACACCUUGAAAAACUGAAAGAAGGAGAAAGAAAUUCCAGUCAUCAGCUAAAGUAAACAAAGAUUUUCAAGUUGUGGUAACUCAUUGAGUGCCACAAAAGAAAUUCUUUCAACUAAUUACAUGCCAAAACAGAUAUUUUUCAUACAGGGAUGUUGACUGCACUAGCACUCAUAAAACCUACAUAAUUGUUUAUCUCUCUUCAUUCAUAAACUGAUAUUUUCUCCUUUUCUUUUGAAGAUUCUUUUCUCAAUCCAAAUUAAAAAAAGAUGUUUGCAUAGGUAGCGAGGAACAACGAAUGGCAGCUUUUUCGUUCCAUUUCUAUAUAUUUCAGAUUCUUGUAUACACCAAGUGCAGUUCUUCAUAUCUCGUUGUCACGGUUAGCUGAUUGGAUAUAUGUCGUCUACAUCCAUCUAAUCAGUAACAACUACUGUGUUGCGAUGCAAUUUGCCACCGAUCAAGAGUCCUCUUCCCCAGCCCUAGCAACUUUACAAGAGAGUCAAAAGAUUUCAUUCCGGCAAUAUCUGGGCCAACCCAGAUCUUUCCAGAGCGAGUCAACAGAUGGGCCAAAGCAGUUUUCACAAUAAGGACCAGCAGUUUUGAGACCCUGUCAGAUGGACACCAAAGUGGCAUGAUAACAGUAGUCUGAGACCACUUGAAGGCUUUUAUCACACACAAAGGUUGAUCACAUCUGAACAUUGUUUGAUGUGUCAACAGAUUCAACUCCUAGUUCCAACAUUUAUUCACUUAAAGAGAUCUAACUCGACCAAACUCCCAGUAAUCUCCAACUGAUCAGACUCAUGGAACAUAGCUGAAGCAGUAAGGCAGAUUCCAGCAUUUCAACAUCCGAGUCACCAACUAUAAAUGUUUCCUGAAUAAUAAGUGUCAAACUAUCACCACUCUUCUAACUAAGUGGUGCUUCUAAGACUAGCUAAUGUUGAUUAUCUAAUCUGGCAACACAUUUAAAAUUCCAUGCAUUAAACUUUUUUUUUCUAAUAGAAUUCAUUAGCAAGGAUACCAUCACGACCAGACUUGAUGGAAUAAGUGAUGCAUAAACUUAUUGAGCCCAAAUUGUUGGCCCAAAAUACUUAAGCCCAAAUUAAUAGUCAUUCACCCAUCAAACACUUAUAAACCGAUUCAAAUCUUCCCCUACUUCCGAUAUGAGACUAAACUAUGGCUAUUACGAUAUUCCAUAUUUAAAAGCUUCACAUCCUUGUCAAUAUCUGAAACAUAACCCAAAAUCAAACCCUUAGUAGGGUGCACAUAAGAACCAAAUCUAGUGUUGCCUCUACAUUAUGAUGUGCCGCUAGACUCAUCUAGCUAUAGCCCUUUCCCCUCACUAGGCCUAAUAUUAGGACAGCUCUGAUAUCAUUUGUCCUUAAACACUAUUAACUUAUUGAGUCUAACAACUAACCCUUCUGUUCAAGUCAAUAAUAAUACACUCAACAAUACCAAACAAGCCAAGAAUAAAAAAUACAUCCGUAAAUUAUUCAAAGCUCAAUACAUGAACUAUUUUGUUAAGAUCAAAUCCUUUAUUGCAUAUCAAUUGGACACUAUUUGAAAGUACAGGGGUAUUUUGGUAAAUUAGACUUGGAGUUCAUAUGUUUUAGUAUCCACUGGAUCAGAGAAUGUCAAUAGUAUGUGACUCCUAAAACAUAGUAGCAUACAGUAUGCAUUCCAAGGGUCUUGUUCCCUGAUUCAAAACUCUUGGAAUGAAAAUUCAAUAAAAUCAAAGGGCAGUCUGGUGUAAAUAAUAGCAGACUAAAGCCCGGCCAGUCCAUAAAAAAUUCCUGUCUCAGAAUUGUUACCUGGGGACAAAAGAAAGAGAUGCGAAGAAAGAGAACAAGGAAGAAAGAGAGAAAGGGAGAAGACAAAACACAGAGAAAGAGAGGAAAAAGUAAAAGGGAGGAAAAGAAGAGAAGCGGAACUUUCAGUAUGGUUUUCAAGUUUGAUUUUUUAGGAAUCAAUCUACUAACCAUUACACAAUCCAUUGUUUGAGAUCCAAAACCUCCAAUACCGACUGUCUAUAUAGCAGCAUGAGUUUACCUUAUUUGAAAUAAACAAACCAAUUUUUAAUUAACUCGCAACCUCUAGUAUCUAGAUGGUGUUAGAGCUUGAAUCCAACAUGAGAAAAUAUCAGAUUUAUCUUUGAUUCAAAUUAAGCAAAAGUGGGUGAGAUUAGCAAUGAAUGAGUGGGGUCUUACUAAAUUUUUUGACACUUUAAUCCAAAGGCAAACUGCUACCAUUUGCCUAGCCCAAGGAUAGACACGAGUAGCGAAUACGGUAUAAUGGUUGAAUGCAAUCCAAACAAAAAACAGUGGAGGAGCUCCCAUUAAUGAGAGAUUUAGAGAAACUCGAUGUAUGCAGUUUUGUCUAUAAAUAGAGAGCUUGUCUUCAUGACUCGAUUCGUAGUCAACAAUCUAGCAAUUAGGUGACCUUACUAUUGAACCCGAACCAAACAAAUACCUAAAAAACACAAUAAUUUCAUUGUUUUCCUAAAAGCUUCCUUUAAAAUAUGGGUGAUUGCACAGUUAGAUAAUUUUGAUCAAUGAUUAUAAUAAAUGUGGGAUGAUAAAGUUAACCUUUGAUAUAAUGGUAAGAUUUCUCCUUUAAGACCUAGGUGAUCAAGAUUUGGACUGAUUACAGAUUACCCAUUGUAAUUAGCUACCUUUAGUAUCCCGGUUCCUACAUUUUCAAAAGUUACAUUGGGAUCUCUAUACUUAAGAAAGUAAAACAUUAAAAUUCCUAUACAGGGUUUAAAAAUAAUUUCAUAGGGUUAAAAAGGAGGGGUUUUAUUGGAGCAAUGGGGAUAAAUGUUUCACUUUCGUGAAUAUAGGGAUCUCAAUGUAACUUUUAAAUAUAUAGGGAUC
rnacentral:lncRNA from 1 species